rnacentral:rRNA from 1 species
CCCUUAGAUGUUCUGGGCCACACGCGCGCUACAAUGGCAGACUCAGCGAGUUACCUCUGUCGAAAGGCACAGGGAAUCUUUACAGUAUCUGCCGUGAUGGGGAUAGACCCUUGUAAUUUUUGGUCUUCAACGAGGAAUUCCUAGUAAACGCAAGUCAUUAACUUGCAUUGAUUACGUCCCUGCCCUUUGUACACACCGCCCGUCGCACCUACCGAUUGAAUGGUCCGGUGAAGUCCUCGGACCCAGUUGAACCUCGAGUUGAACAGGGAAAGUUGACUAAAUCUUACCAUUUAGAGGAAGGUGAAGUCGUAACA